rnacentral:lncRNA from 1 species
UAUGGAGCAUGACCAGCAUAUGUAUGCUGCUAUUAUGGUGUCUCAUCAAGCGUACUCUGAUAAGCCAUGCUGUUUUAUAGCUAUUUCUCACAAAUUUAUUUAACAAAAAAGAUAACUUUAAUUCUCUCAAUCGGACCAUGUAAAUAUUUAUCUAUAAAAAUAAUCUAGCAAGACUUAUAGGACAUUAAAGAGCUUUAGACAGGAUUGAUCAAUCCAAAUACAAAAUAUAUAAUG